AGGCUGAAGUUGAGAGGGCAUAGAAUGCAGACGAUGAUUCGAGGAGAAACUGAGUAAAGCUAGAAGAGAGUCAUCUCGAAUGCUUGGGGUGUAAGGACCACCACGGGAUCGAUUAGAGGAGGAGGAAGGAAUGGCUUGAUAAGAAGUGUUAAAAGAUGGAGAUAAUUGAUUAUCAUGGAUUUGAGGGAAACUAGAGGAAUUCAAACGUUCAUUGUUAGUGAAGUAGGGGCUUUCGGAAGAGGGCUGAGGAUUCUCAUUG